rnacentral:rRNA from 1 species
GAUGAACGCUGGCGGCGUGCCUAACACAUGCAAGUCGAACGAGAGAAGAUCGGUGCUUGCACUGAUCCGAUCGAGUGGCGGACGGGUGAGUAACGCGUGGGUAACCUGCCUCAUACAGGGGAAUAACAGUUGGAAACGGCUGCUAAAACCGCAUAAGCGCACAGUAUCGCAUGAUACAGUGUGAAAAACUCCGGUGGUAUGAGAUGGACCCGCGUCUGAUUAGCUAGUUGGUGAGGUAACGGCCCACCAAGGCAACGAUCAGUAGCCGGCCUGAGAGGGUGAACGGACACAUUGGGACUGAGACACGGCCCAAACUCCUACGGGAGGCAGCAGUGGGGAAUAUUGCACAAUGGGGGAAACCCUGAUGCAGCGACGCCGCGUGAGUGAUGAAGUAUUUCGGUAUGUAAAGCUCUAUCAGCAGGGAAGAUAAUGACGGUACCUGACUAAGAAGCACCGGCUAAAUACGUGCCAGCCGCCGCAGUAA